rnacentral:rRNA from 1 species
UACAGAGGGGGCAAGCGUUGUUCGGAAUUACUGGGCGUAAAGGGCGCGUAGGCGGCCUUCUAAGUCGAACGUGAAAUCCCCGGGCUCAACCCGGGAACUGCGUCCGAUACUGGAAGGCUUGAAUCCGGGAGAGGGAUGCGGAAUUCCAGGUGUAGCGGUGAAAUGCGUAGAUAUCUGGAGGAACACCGGUGGCGAAGGCGGCAUCCUGGACCGACAUUGACGCUGAACGGCGAAAGCUAGGGGAGCAAACGGG